rnacentral:rRNA from 1 species
CUGACUGCUAUCGGAUUGUACUAGCCAUGCGAGUCAUUGUAGCAAUACAAGGCGGACGGCUCAGUAACACGUAGUCAACCUAACUCGUGGACGUGGAUAACCUCGGGAAACUGAGAAUAAACCACGAUAGAUCAUAGUGCUGGAAUGGCUUAUGGUCCAAACAGUUUACUGCCAUGGGAUGGGACUGCGGCCUAUCAGCUUGUUGGUGAGGUAAUGGCCCACCAAGGCGAUUACAGGUACGGGCUCUGAGAGGAGUAGCCCGGAGAUGGGUACUGAGACACGGACCCAGGCCCUAUGGGGCGCAGCAGGCGAGAAACCUUAGCAAUGUGCGAAAGCACGACUGGGUCAGUCCGAGUGAUUCCUGAUAAAGGAGUCUUUUGCCUGUCCUAAAAGCACAGGUGAAUAAGGGGUGGGCAAGUCUGGUGUCAGCCGCCGCGGUAAUACCAGCACCUCGAGUGGUCAGGACGUUUAUUGGGCCUAAAGCAUCCGUAGCCGGCUCUGCAAGUCUUCGGUUAAAUCCACCUGCUCAACAGAUGGGCCGCUGGAGAUACUACAGAGCUAGGGAGUGGGAGAGGCAGACGGUAUUCAGUGGGUAGGGGUAAAAUCCUCUGAUCCAUUGAGGACCACCAGUGGCGAAGGCGGUCUGCCAGAACACGUUCGACGGUGAGGGAUGAAAGCUGGGGGAGCAAACCGGAUUAGAUACCCGGGUAGUCCCAGCUGUAAACGAUGCAAACUCGGUGAUGCAUUGGCUUAUGGCCAAUGCAGUGCCGCAGGGAAGCCGUUAAGUUUGCCGCCUGGGAAGUACGGACGCAAGUCUGAAACUUAAAGGAAUUGGCGGGGGAGCACCACAAGGGGUGAAGCCUGCGGUUCAAUUGGAUUCAACGCC